GACGAACGCUGGCGGCGUGCUUAACACAUGCAAGUCGAACGGAAAGGCCCUGCUUUUGUGGGGUGCUCGAGUGGCGAACGGGUGAGUAACACGUGAGUAACCUGCCCUUGACUUUGGGAUAACUUCAGGAAACUGGGGCUAAUACCGGCUAGUAACUUCUGCUGCCUGGUGGGGGUUGGAAAGUUUCGGCGGUUGGUGAUGGACUCGCGGCUUAUCAGCUUGUUAGUGGGGUAGUGGCUUACCCAGGCUUUGACGGAUAGCCGGCAUGAGAGGGUGACCGGCGACAAGGGGACUAAGAUACGGCCCAGACUCCUACGGGAGGCAGCAGUGGGAAGCAUUGCGCAAUGGGCGGAAGCCUGAGGCGGCAACGCCGCGUGCGGGAUGACGGCCUUCGGGGUGUAAACCGCGUUCGGCUGAGACUAAGCGUGAUUGACGGUAAUGGGUAAAGAAGCACCGGCUAACUACGUG
rnacentral:rRNA from 1 species